ACUUCCAUGGUGUAACUGGCUAACAUGUCCACUGAUUCAGUGGAAGAUCUAGGUUCAAAUCCUAGUGGUAGUG
rnacentral:tRNA from 1 species